rnacentral:rRNA from 1 species
GAUGAACGCUGGCGGCGUGCCUAAUACAUGCAAGUCGAGCGAUCAGAUGAGGAGCUUGCUCCUCUGACGUUAGCGGCGGACGGGUGAGUAACACGUGGAUAACCUACCUAUAAGACUGGGAUAACUUCGGGAAACCGGAGCUAAUACCGGAUAAUAUAUUGAACCGCAUGGUUCAAUAGUGAAAGACGGUUUUGCUGUCACUUAUAGAUGGAUCCGCGCCGCAUUAGCUAGUUGGUAAGGUAACGGCUUACCAAGGCAACGAUGCGUAGCCGACCUGAGAGGGUGAUCGGCCACACUGGAACUGAGACACGGUCCAGACUCCUACGGGAGGCAGCAGUAGGGAAUCUUCCGCAAUGGGCGAAAGCCUGACGGAGCAACGCCGCGUGAGUGAUGAAGGUCUUCGGAUCGUAAAACUCUGUUAUUAGGGAAGAACAAAUGUGUAAGUAACUAUGCACGUCUUGACGGUACCUAAUCAGAAAGCCACGGCUAACUACGUG